UCAAAUAUCAGUGCCUAAAAAGGCAAAUUUAUGAGAUUGUCAUAUAAUAUAAUAUUGGUUGGAUAUUAUUAUCAGCAAUGAAACUAUAAAUUGGGUAUGGUUGUACUUCACAAUGCUUAUAAGUAUAUAUCUAUAUGCCUUUUAAAUUCCCGUAAUUUAAAAUUCAAGAAAUCUCUGUCUCAGUCUCUCUCUCUCUCUCUCUCUCUCUCUCUCUCUCUCUCUCUCUCUCUUACACACACACACACACACACACACACACACAUAUACACACACAUGUAUUACAAUUUAUACAUAGAUAGUAAUCAUAGAAAUUUUUUGAUGUUUUCUCAGAAGAGUGAUUAUUCAGACAAGCAAGUGUAUGGAGGACCCAUCACUCAAGUGGCUUUGCUUUUUUGUUGUUGUUUAUUUUUGAGCUAGAUUAUUACUGUGGGCGGCUGAUCUAAACCCCGAAACUCAAGUGAUCCUCUUGACUCAGUCUCCAAAGUGCUACAACUGUGACACCCCGACAUCAUGUGACGCUUACACUCUUGACUGCUUCGAUACUUUUCACAGUCAAUACUGUGUUCAUAUUACAACUAUUCUUUGCAUUCUUAAAUCUUUUCUAUAUGUCAGCCUAAAGUUAUCAUUACAAAUCCAAGUUAAAAUAAAUUGUUCUGAACAAAAGAAUCCUGUUGCAGAAAUGCUCAUUAUUUCAUAUGUAUUUCUAAAUUUUUUUUAUCCAGAAAGACAUUUCCCUUAUUUUUUACUGUUUUGUUGAAUUUGGUACAAGUGAGCAUGAUUUGUAUCUGCUUUGCCUUCUCUCAUUACUCUGUGAUGAUGAACAUUACUUUUAUGAUUGGAUAGUAAUAGCAUCCCAGGAACUUUCUGUGGUUUAUCAGUAACAUGAGACAUUUGUAUGCUGUUACUGUAAGUAAACAGUUUAAGCAGACAGACUGGAUGUGGAGUUUAUCCAAUUGCCCUUACUGCAUUUUUAGAUUGCUGCCAAAUUUAAAUCGAGAUUCAGCUGUUAAUCCCUUAAACCUUAAUAAGCAAGCUACACGGCUAGCAGGAUUCAGUUUGAACUAGGAUGAGGAAAUGUAAAUCACAAUGGACUUUGUAAUGUCUUUCGCCAACCCUGUCAUGCAUGGGGUUUUCAAGUUUUAUCAUGGAAAUUUAUAGUAACAUACAAAGAGCAAAUGUCAAAACUCCUCUCCAUCUUUUUUCCAACUAUUUGCAGGUCCUUACCACUUGCAGAUACUUAGCACACACCUAGGCUGAGAGACAGUAAAUCACUCAGCUUUGAGAAGUUUCACCACUAAUUGAAUUCAGCACUAUGCUCAGGCUUCUAGCAUUGCCGAUCUGCCACAACCCAUGGUGUAGUUUGGUUUUGUGUUUCUUAUUUUCAGCUGGAAUUUUUCAGUGUAGAGCUGUAAAGUCUGGAAAGUAUUCAAUACCAGAAAUUCAUUUUAUGUUCUCACUGUUCUCAGCUUACACAGCUGCUUUCUCAGAGCAUCGGAUAAUUAGCUAAAACAGCUUCUAUGGCUCCAUAUUUUAUCAAAAUUGAUAUAUUUAUAGCCCAAAGAAAAAGAAAUGUUUUGUUAGAUGUUACUCAGAUACCUGGGGUUAGAAGACUCAAGACAUACUGACAAGUGGUGUUCUUCACAUAGACAAAGGUUUAACAUAUAUGAAUUAUAUUUUUUGAAAAAGGAUGUCUUUUGUUUGUUGCAGUCAUUGUUGUCGUUUGCUUUUUUGAGACAGAGCUUCUCUGUGUAACCCUGGCUGUCUUGGAACUCACUGUGUAGACCAGGCUGGCUUUGAACUUACAGAGAUCCACCUGUUUCUGCCUCCCAAGUGCUAGGAUUAAAGGUGUACCCUGCCACCACCCAGCUAAGAAAGGACAUUUUUGAGGUAAAGAAAACUGACUCUUAAAGAGGCAGCAGGAACUUUCUGGAAAGGGUAAUAAGAAUGCCACGCAUUCUGUUUUAUGUAGUAAUUAAACAAAUGCAUGAGUCAACAAAGUUCAUUCAGUUGAAUACUUUAAUUUGUAUAUUGUGUCAUAUGUCAAUAGUAAGAUAUUUCUUGAAAUACAUUGUGUGAAUAUUAUUUCUAAAAUAGACCUUCCUAAAUAAGCCUUUCUUGAUACAAACAUAACGCCCUUUAUCAUUUUAUCUGGAAUUACUUAGUGUGAUUUUAUGAAAGCAAUUUUUUAAAAGUCAAUGAAUUUAUAAUAAAAACUCACAAAUGAAUAUUGGAAGUACCGAUUUAUAAAAACUUUUUUUCACGUAGUUUUGGUAAUUUUGUUAUAACUAUUCAAGUUAACUCUUUGUGGACUAUUUUUCCAUUAUAUUUUGAACCUCUUGCCUUUUGUAACAAAAUAUGCAUUUUUUUCCCAGAGAAAUAGCCUCUUCUUU
rnacentral:lncRNA from 1 species